GAUGAACGCUGACAGAAUGCUUAACACAUGCAAGUCUUUGGCGAAGCUGUGCUUGCACAGCCUAGCCAAGGCGGACGGGUGAGUAACGCGUAAGGAACUUGCCCUGCAGUCAGGGAUAACAGACGGAAACGACUGAUAAGACCUGGUAAAGUCAGGCGGACUCAUGUCCAGCCUGAUGAAAAGAGAUGCUGCAGGAGAGCCUUGCGUCCUAUUAGCUUGUUGGUGGGGUAACGGCCCACCAAGGCGAUGAUAGGUAGCCGGCCUGAGAGGGUGGACGGCCACAAGGGGACUGAGAUACGGACCUUACUCCUACGGGAGGCAGCAGUGGGGAAUAUUGGACAAUGGGGGCAACCCUGAUCCAGCAAUUCGGUGUGCACGAUGAAGGUUUUCGGAUUGUAAAGUGCUUUCAGCAGGGAAGAAAAAAUGACGGUACCUGCAGAAGAAGCGACGGCUAAAUACGUG
rnacentral:rRNA from 1 species